rnacentral:tRNA from 1 species
CUUUUAAAGGAUAGAAGCAAUCCACUG